GAAAAUAAACUAUAAAGCAUAGCUACAACAUCCAUUGUCUCAAGAUGACAACUCUGAAGAGGAGAUCAGUUACCCUGUUACUGACAUACCACCUCAUGAUUCCAUGACAGAUGGCAGAUCUGACAGUGAAGAGGAGAUCAGUUACCCAUGCAAACACCAC